AGCUAGAAAAGCUGGUGCCAUUCUACAUGACAAGAAGGAAACUUAAGGAUUGGAGGUGAUUUCUUUCAGCUAGAGAAGCUGUGCCAUUCUACAUGACAAGAAGGAAACUUAAGGAUUGGAGACCUACGAUCUUGUUUCAUUGUGGAGUGGUUCUUACAGGGAAUCAGAUGUUCUCGCAGACUCUGGAGAUCUUGUGUACACAACUCUCAUCCUAACCUCCUCACUCGAAGCAUGAUAGCAGUGCAGUGACACACAGAGAAUGGGUUUGCAAUUUGAAUGGGUUUGCACUGCCAUCA